AGAGGCCAUGAGCUUUCCAGUAUGUAGUCACAGGUCAAUAUUAUCAGGUACUAAGGCCUUGGUAACUUGCUAUGUCAUUGUAUGGGAAAUAACAGCCUGAACCACUGAUUAAUCAGCUGAGGCAAGUGUUGGGUCAGCUGCAGGAGCACAGGUGAGAGUAAUCUAGCUGUGCUCCCGGAAGGGGUGGACUUUGACUCCACCUCCUCUGAGACCUCAUUUAAGGGCUGACCACCACUGAGGCAGCAUCUCUUGGAGAUCGCUCCCCAGUGGAGAGUGCCUCAGCUAUCCGGUCAAGGCAUCGACAUUGGUGAGUCUUCUUUACUAAUAACCUUUGACUAUUUAUCACCAUUUUGGUCAACAUCUUUAUAUUAACCACCUUUACAGUCAUGAAGAAACAGCUAAAAGAAAAUUCACAGCAUUUUCUGGUUAUACUGAAACAAUAAGCAAAAGGUGAUGUUUCCUUCUUCUCUUCUUUCGUUCUUCUCUUCUUUCCAGUGGCUAGCAGAGGAGCAAGUGAGAGGAACUGUGCAGCACACAAGGUCACCCAAUUACCCUCACAGCUACAGAGAACUGUGGCAGCUGUGUUACACCGAGGGGAGAACCAGUUAA
rnacentral:lncRNA from 1 species